rnacentral:rRNA from 1 species
AGAGCCCGGAGAUGGAUUCUGAGACACGAAUCCAGGCCCUACGGGGUGCAGCAGGCGCGAAAACUUUACAAUGCUGGCAACAGCGAUAAGGGAACCUCGAGUGCCAGGUUACAAAUCUGGCUGUCGAGAUGCCUAAAAAGCAUUUCAUAGCAAGGGCCGGGCAAGACCGGUGCCAGCCGCCGCGGUAACACCGGCGGCUCGAGUGGUAACCGUUAUUAUUGGGUCUAAAGGGUCUGUAGCCGGCCGGAUAAGUCUCUUGAGAAAUCUGGCAGCUUAACUGUCAGGCUUUCAGGAGAUACUGUCUGGCUCGAGGCCGGGAGAGGUGAGAGGUACUUCGGGGGUAGGGGUGAAAUCUUGUAAUCCUUGAAGGACCACCAGUGGCGAAGGCGUCUCACCAGAACGGACCUGACGGCAAGGGACGAAAGCUAGGGGCACGAACCGGAUUAGAUACCCGGGUAGUCCUAGCCGUAAACGAUACUCGCUAGGUGUCGGCCACGGUGCGACCGUUGUCGGUGCCGUAGGGAAGCCGUGAAGCGAG